ensembl:lncRNA
CUCAAGCUUGGGACAGUUCUGCCAGCUUCACUUAUCAUUCUGGGCUGGGCUAAGUUCCCUCUCUCUUCACUAGUUCUCUUCUCUCUUUCGCCCUCUCCUUGCAUUUGAGUGUAAUGAGAGCCAUGCGGUGAGUUGUGGAUGAGAGACGUCAGAUUAAAGAAGAGUGAGAGGAGCAGGACAGAAAACACACUCACUGAGCUGCUGGGAGUUUCAGCGCUGCAUGCAAGAACGUAGAAUUGGAGUGCCGGGACUGGGGGCUGCGCUGCUCCAUUGCACUCUCUCUCUUUCUUUCUCUCUCUCUCUCUGUCUCUCUGUCCUCUGGGUCUAAACGUGCAGCAGAGGAAUUGCAGCGGCAGAUAUGAACCUCUCACUUCCCCAGACUUCACAAGCAUGAAAUGGACACAAGACAAUUUUACGGGCGGAAGGAACAUGAUCGAGCAGUUAGGGUCAUUCCUUCUGACAGUGAGGACAGUGAGCUUGUGGAGAGUGAAAAUGAGGACAGUGAGGUUGAGGAGAGUCAUGAAGACUGGAUCCCUGAAUCAGGUUUGAGAGACAGUUUGGAGGUCAGGGGUCAGUAAGGGGUCAGUCAGCAAAGUAUCAUGUGUGUGUGUGUGCGUACAUGUGUGUGUGUUUGUUUGCAUGCAUGUCAUUGUAUGAUGAAGGGUAUAUGACAAACAUGCUUCCUGCUGUCUUUUUUAGGAGAAUGCCUG